ACAUACACACACACAGCACCCUCACACACUGUACCCUUCACAUACACACACAGCACCCUCUCUCACACACACACACACACACACACACACACACAGCAUCCUCUCAAACACACAACAUGCUCUCACACACACAGACACACACACACACACAGCACCCCUCUCUCACACAAACACAGCACCCUCACCACACUGCACCCCUCACAUACACACAUACUCACACAAC